rnacentral:tRNA from 1 species
GGACCAUAGCUCAGUGGCAGAGAAUCUGUUUUGUAUGCAGAAGGUCCCAGGUUCAAUCCCUGGCAUCUCUA